rnacentral:rRNA from 1 species
UGGGGAAUUUUGGACAAUGGGCGCNCUUNCUGAUCCANCCAUGCCGCGUGCGGGAAGAGGGCCUUCGGGUUGUAAACCGCUUUUGUCAGGGAAGAAAUCUUCUGGGUUAAUACCUCGGGAGGAUGACGGUACCUGAAGAAUAAGCACCGGCUAACUACGUGCCAGCAGCCGCGGUAAUACGUAGGGUGCGAGCGUUAAUCGGAAUUACUGGGCGUAAAGCGUGCGCAGGCGGUCUUGCAAGACAGGUGUGAAAUCCCCGGGCUUAACCUGGGAACUGCACUUGUGACUGCAAGGCUGGAGUACGGC